rnacentral:lncRNA from 1 species
CCCAUGUCUCAGAUGGCGAUUUUGCUGACAGCUGCAAGGCACAGUUGCUCUACCCGGCGGUCCUCACGUGCCCAGGUGGUCCUCAUGUGCCCAGGCGUUGUAGCCGGGCCCCACACCCGGCGGUCCUCACGUGCCCAGGCGUUGUAGCCGGGCCCCCUGGCUGGAGACCUGACCUUGUCAGUGGGUCCGCGUGCACAGCUUGCCCCAGAGAGGCCCAGGUGCCUGUAGGGGCUCAGAGCAGCUGGCCGCCCCCGCGGGCGACCCCUCCCAGUACUAACGAGUUUCGGGGUUUCCCUCCCAGCCGGGGCGCCGCUGACAGGUGGGGCAGGGCCGUCCUGCACACUGCAGCUCCGGUCUCCCUGCGAGACGCUGUCGGCAGCUGCCCCACAUCCUCUGAGUUGGGGAUCGCUGAUGUGACGCAGGGCUGCGUGCCUUGGGGGAGGGCCCGGGGCCCAGAGCCACACGGGGA